rnacentral:rRNA from 1 species
CCCUUAGAUGUUCUGGGCCGCACGCGCGCUACACUGACGGAGGCAGCGAGCAUGUCCUUCGCCGAGAGGUGUGGGGAAUCUUGUGAGUCUCCGUCGUGCUGGGGAUAGAUGGUUGCAAUUUUUCGACUCGAACCAGGAAUUCCUUGUAAUCGUGAUUCAUCACAUCACGAUGAAUACGUCCCUGCCCUUUGUACACACCGCCCGUCGCUCCUACCGAUCGAAGAGUUAGGUGAAUUGUUUUGAUCGAUAAGAUUUGACUAUGGUCAACUCUCGUUGUGAAAUUCUGUGAAUCUGACUGUUUAGAGGAAGGAAAAGUCGUAACA